rnacentral:rRNA from 1 species
AACGAACGCUGGCGGCAGGCUUAACACAUGCAAGUCGAACGCACCGCAAGGUGAGUGGCAGACGGGUGAGUAACGCGUGGGAACGUGCCCUUCAGUUCGGAAUAACCCAGGGAAACUUGGGCUAAUACCGGAUACGUGCGAGAGCAGAAAGAUUUAUCGCUGAAGGAUCGGCCCGCGUCUGAUUAGCUAGUUGGUGGGGUAAUGGCCCACCAAGGCGACGAUCAGUAGCNGGUCUGAGAGGAUGAUCAGCCACAUUGGGACUGAGACACGGCCCAAACUCCUACGGGAGGCAGCAGUGGGGAAUAUUGGACAAUGGGCGCAAGCCUGAUCCAGCCAUGCCGCGUGAGUGAUGAAGGCCUUCGGUUGUAACUAG